rnacentral:rRNA from 1 species
AACGUAGGAGGCGAGCGUUAUCCGGAUUUACUGGGCGUAAAGCGUGUGUAGGCGGUUUGAUAAGUUGGAUGUGAAAGCUCCCGGCUCAACUGGGAGAGGUCGUUCAAAACUAUCAGACUAGAGAGUGGUAGAGGGAGGUGGAAUUCCGCGUGUAGUGGUGAAAUGCGUAGAUAUGCGGAGGAACACCAGUGGCGAAAGCGGCCUCCUGGCCCAUUUCUGACGCUCAGACACGAAAGCUAAGGUAGCAAACGGGAUUAGAAACCCCAGUAGUCC